rnacentral:rRNA from 1 species
GAUGAACGCUAGCGGCGUGCCUAACACAUGCAAGUCGAACGUGAAGGCGACUACGGUUGCCUGAAAGUGGCGGACGGGUGAGUAAGACGUAGGUGACCUGCCUUCGAGUGGGGGAUAACCAUUAGAAAUGAUGGCUAAUACCGCAUGGUUUUGUGGAGUAGGGAUAUUUCGCAAAUAAAGCUUUGGUGCUCGGAGAGGGGCCUACGACCGAUUAGGUAGUUGGUGGGUAAAGGCCUACCAAGCCGAUGAUCGGUAGCUGGUCUGAGAGGACGAUCAGCCACACGGGAACUGAGACACGGUCCCGACUCCUACGGGUGGCAG